UUUUCAAAAUCAGCUACCGCCUUUGUAAGAAAUGCUCACAGAUGAGAAGUAUAGAUUGAGCUGUUGAACCGUGCCAGGAAAUGUCAAUGAUGCAGCCCAAUUCAAAGUAAUGGAAGAAUCUCUGACGAAAUCUCUUUAUUCACAUCAAGAACACUAGAGACAUCACUGUCCGCAGUUACCUAAUCAUGACAAUAUAUGGGAGCUAGUGAAGAUCUCAACUUUUUGAUGGUUCAAUGGUAUUUUCUUAAUUUAUAUGAAUAAUGACUAAUUCAUACAUGAUUUGGAGUAAAAUAUUUAAUCCAAAGUUACUGUUAUGUUGCAGAGAUGUCACAUACUUGAAGUUUCAGAUA